rnacentral:lncRNA from 1 species
GAAAGAAUACUGGGCAUGCUCCUUCUGACCAUAGCUCUUGGCCACUCCAGGAGACAUCUCCUGUAUCAUAACAGUUCAUCCACCAGAGCCUCAGAGGGGAAGGCACGUCUGCAGGAAAGAAUGAGUCUAAGUGGACGCAGUCGAAAGUCAAUGGACCACAGAGGUCUACUGUGGCACCACCAGCUUUCAUCUUUGUAACCUAAAAGACAGGCACUUUCCAUCACAAGUUGAAGAACCCAAGGGAAGAGCUCUGUUGGCUGAGCUUAAUGAAAAGCACAGCCCUGAGACAAGAAGAAUGAAUGACAAGCAGCAUCUGGGUUACACGCUGAACCUGGGGUCAGAGGAUAAAGUCCUAUGAUUGGUCACCUCAUGAAUCAUGUUACGGCAUAGGAGACAAGACGGUGCCCAAGAAAAUGCAGUGCUAGAUGGAGAAAAAUAUCUUCUGUGUGCUACAGAAAAGCUCUAGUGCAGUAAUUGAUGGGUGACAAGAAAUGGAAAUGAUAUAGGAUGGAAAAGAAAACUGGUCUGGGAAAUCAAGUAAUCUGGAUCUAUUCUAUCACUUCCUAGACGUGAACAAUCAUUUUUUCACUUCUCUGGGCUUCAACUUAGCCAUCUGUAACAUGAGGAAUCCCCAAAGUGGCUGCAUAGGAGAAUAAUUUUGGAGACUUUAAAACAUAUACUGUAUUAUUGAAAAGUCCAAACAUGAGAAAAUUAUACAUAGCUAAUGAGGAAACUUAGAAAACUAAUUAUCUCUUGGUCAGAAAUCAAGGACUACUACACUAAGUGACCUCUCUGGACAUUUCUUAUCUAAAUAUUUUAUGAUUAUUUAAGAUAAAGAGAAAUGGGGGAGAGAAGCACAGAGAGAGAAAGAGAGAGACAGGAUGAGGAAUAAGAACAGAGUUUCAUGGCUGACCCAAGCUAGCUGUGCCAUGUGCCACUCCAUACUCCCAGUAUGGUCUCUGCUGAUAAACAGUGAAACCCUGCCACAUGCUUUCAAGCAAAGAAGAUUCUCAAGACUUUCCAAAUAAAGAUCAAUGGGCUCAUUCUGCA